rnacentral:rRNA from 1 species
GAUGAACGCUGGCGAGAUGCCUUACACAUGCAAGUCGUACGGGAAUUUUUAAUUCAAGUGGCGGACGGGUGAGUAACACGUAAGAAUUUGCCUUUAGGAGGGGGACAACAACUGGAAGCGGUCGCUAAUACCCCAUAUGCUUUCGACUGAACUGGAUUUUUCCGCCUUUAGAGCGGCCCGCGUCUGAUUAGCUAGUUGGUGUGGUAAUGGCUCACCAAGGCGACGAUCAGUAGCUGGUCUGAGAGGAUGACCAGCCACAUUGGGACUGAGACACGGCCCAAACUCCUACGGGAGGCAGCAGUGGGGAAUCUUGCGCAAUGGGCGAAAGCCUGACGCAGCCAUGCAGCGUGGAUGAUGAAGGUCUUAGGAUUGUAAAAUCCUUUCACCGGUGAAGAUAAUGACUGUAGCCGGAGAAGAAGCCCCGGCUAACUUCGUGCCAGCCGCCGCAGUAAUAC